rnacentral:rRNA from 1 species
UACGUAGGGGGCAAGCGUUGUCCGGAAUCAUUGGGCGUAAAGAGCGCGCAGGCGGUCGUUCAAGUCGCGUGUGAAAGCCCCCGGCUCAACUGGGGAGGGUCACGCGAUACUGAUCGACUCGAAGGCAGGAGAGGGAAGUGGAAUUCCCGGUGUAGUGGUGAAAUGCGUAGAUAUCGGGAGGAACACCAGUGGCGAAGGCGACUUCCUGGCCUGUUCUUGACGCUGAGGCGCGAAAGCUAGGGGAGCAAACGGG